rnacentral:ribozyme from 1 species
UGCCCAGCAACUCCUAUCCCUACCUUCUCGAGGUACUGGCCGGGGUACGAGUAACCUUGGGGAAGAUCGGGUAACCAACCCCCGGUGGGAACUUUGGUCGUAUGCUGACAGGGAAGG